rnacentral:tRNA from 1 species
GAGGUUGUAGUUCAGUGCAGAGUGCUUGCCUCACAUGCAUGAGGCCUUGGGUUCGAUGCUCAGCACCACA